CCGUGUAAACACAAGCACCUGGAGCCACAGAUGAUCAUCUGGGAAGAAACACUAGGAGUCUGAGUGUAAGCACCAGGCUGUGAAGACACGAUCCUGAGUGAAGAGGCAAAGUCUUUACAGGGAGGAAGCAGAUCCAUGGGAACCAAAAGAGGCUGCAAAUCCUGGAACCAGGGAACUUUCUAGAACUCUGAAGCAGCAGCUAAAACAUCAGCAGUGACGGAAAAUGUUCUCUUCAGUCUUCAUGGCUGUCUUCUUGGUGGCCAGACUGACUUUACCGUGGAGACCUGGCUUUGUACCUCCCGCGGGUUAACUGGAUUUCACUGGGCUGAUGGAGUUGUGCAGAAUGUUUGGAAAGUCUGCCCCUUCAUCUUCUCCUCCAGCUUCUCAGAUUGUCCCUAGUUCCCUUGUCUUCAGGUGUUUGGAGCUCAGUGUAACUAGUCCAGGCUGGCCCAGAACUCAUCAUGUAGACCAGGCUGGUUUCAAGGUUGUGGCGAUUCUUCUGGCUUUGCCAACCAGAUCCUGGGACUGCAGGAAUUCGAGACUAUGGCUGGCUCCUCCCUCUUUUCAUUUCUAUUGUAUGGGGGGAAGUUAUAGGGGGGCUAACCUCUGCCAUCACCUCCUAUUUCCAUUACUCAUUUCCUGUGAGUUUUAAGCUUUCCCAAAUAAAACACUAGGUAGCCUUGGGUGGCCUGGAACUCACUAUAGACCAGACUACCCUCAA